rnacentral:rRNA from 1 species
GUAGGUGGCAAGCGUUGUCCGGGAAUUAUUGGGGCGUAAAGCGCGCGCAGGCGGUUCUUUAAGUCUGAUGUGAAAGCCCACGGGCUCAACCGUGGAGGGUCAUUGGAAACUGGAGAACUUGAGUACAGAAGAGGAAAGCGGAAUUCCACGUGUAGCGGUGAAAUGCGUAGAGAUGUGGAGGAACACCAGUGGCGAAGGCGGCUUUCUGGUCUGUAACUGACGCUGAGGCGCGAAAGCGUGGGGAGCAAACAGGAUUAGAUACCCUGGUAGUCCACGCCGUAAACGAUGAGUGCUAAGUGUUAGGGGGUUCCGCCCCUCAGUGCUGCAGCUAACGCAUUAAGCACUCCGCCUGGGGAGUACGGCCGCAAGGCUG